rnacentral:lncRNA from 1 species
AAAAAACCUCUUAAAGAGACUCCUCUCCCUCGGAUGAAAAGGAGUAUGUUUCCUAUUGCUACCAAAUUCCCCAGGAAGGAUUUGGUUUGUGAGCUGUAGGAAACCAGUGAGAUUAGCAGCUUCCUGUAGCUGCAAGCUUCUGAACGACCAGUUUUCAUUGUGUAUGGGCUGGAAACACCAUGACUGAACCUGCACUCAGAGCCAAGCAAAAACCCACAGCUUCUUCUGCUUUGUUACUGAAACCCAGGAAUCCUGCAGAGGAAUCAGAACUCAGGAGCAGAAGCAGUUUAUUGCAGCAGAAUCCUCUGCAGCUCAUCGCUGCUGGAAAACUCACUCACAUCUUUAGCUUCAGGAUUCUGGACUUUGUGUUCUCCUUCUGCGUCAUGCUGUGAAAUCCAAACACUGUCUUUCCUAGUUUUUUCCUCAGGUUUCCAGCUCGAUAUGGAUCUACUGAUCCUGUGAGGCUUUUGUUGUGCUGCAGUCUGGAGGUUUGAGAGCUCUGAGGUUUUUGCACGAGGCUGCAGCACCGUGCUGCUCUCACGUUUGGAAAUCCAAUCAGGCUGACCGUCGUCCCUUCAGACAGUUCUCCUGUUCAACCCACACUGUUCAUCCUGCGCCCCCAGUUGAGACCCAAUGCACCCCCCACCCCAACAAGCUCCAAGUCUCCAGAAGUAUGCCUGGCACUUGACUUUCGUCCGACUGGAGGAUACAUGAGGCUGAAUGGGGAUAAGCCUUUGAGCACCAGCAAUGCCCCCGUGUCCACCAAGAGCAAAACGUACUUCUUUGCUGGUAUCAGUGAUGAACCCAUCAACACCUGCGAGAUGAAUGGAGUGAUCAAGCCCAAAAGUGACGUCGUCGAGGGCGAUAAACCAACCACAAAGUCUCCAACACGCAAGGUGGAUCCUACUGUUAAACCAACAAAAGCGACUGUUGUCCCACCCGUUGUGCGCUCGGAAGAUGUUUAUCCAAAGAGGAGCAGGCUGAACCUGUACAUGCUGGUGAUGAACGGCGUGCGCCUGCUGCUCACCAAAGCUCUGGCCUUCAGCACCGUCCUGACCGUCAAAGCACUGAUCUUCUGACCCCGCCCUCAGGAGAGCCAAGCCACGCCCUCUGUCAUUUAUUACAGUUUCUAUUAAAAAUCUUAUCUUUUUCAGAAAUAGAAAUGAUUGUAACUUUUCUUUCCUGCAAGCACAAAGAAGGAUAUUCUGUACAAUGACUGUAAUCUUGAAAACUUGCUUUUUUGCUCAUGUUUUCUUUUUUUUUUCUAACAUUUUUUUUAGACAUUCAUUUUUUGUAGUAUCUCUGUUUCCCUCACAUGAUAAACCAAUAUUUUAAUCCACUGGUUUUUGUCUUCAGGUUUUUUUGGUUGUCAUUUCUCAUUUCAUUUAGCAUCAACUAUAAAUAAACUUUUUCUGCGCUCAG